GUAACACAAUUGUGUUCCAUACGUUAAUCAUCAGGAAGUAACUAAAUACAGCAAAUCCGAAACGAUUACAUGUAACCUUUAGACACUUAAUAACAAUCUGUACGAAUAUUAUAGACAUAUACCCUGCAGCCAAUAAAUGACCAUGUCUACUGUGAAAUAACAUGUAUCCGUCAGGGGUUAAUUGCAUAGUUUGACAAUUAACCACAGACUAGUAUUACUCCACAACCAGACUACUACGUAACCGGCCUACAGCUAUGGACCACUGAACUAUAUAAGAUCCAGCUUUGGACUCGAACGGCAGAUAGAUUUGUACAGAUAGAUUUGUACAGAUAGAUUCGUACAGAUAGAUUCCGACAGGAGAUCCGCCAAGGUCUCCCCCCUUGUGGGUAGGCUGGAAUUUAUUCACUAACCAUCCGAAUUACUCAGUCAGGACCGAACAGUUAUACCACUAUACGAUCACGUGUCCGUGUGACGAUAUGAACAUUCGAACAAUUCAACUUUAAAGACAUUUGUGAACAAUCGAACAUUUGAACUUUAGAAACAGUCUUAACUUUGUAAUUACAUAAUAAAAAUUAUUUAUCCACUUA